GGAGGGGCAUAAGGAGUUCGGGGAGGCACAGGGUAGGAGCGGUGAGAGGGCCGUGGAGUCCCGCUCCUCUCCGCCGCGGUUGGCGGGAGCGUGUAGUGACGUCACACAGGGCCUCUCGAAGUGGGCUUGUGAAUGGCUAGAUUGGGAAGCACCGGAGGGGUGUCGGGAAGAGUGGUGACGCAACAUAGAGACUCCGCCCCCUUCCUUGGAGCGCUGCGACUCGGGCUGAGGGAGCUCGGGCCAAUCAGAGGGACGGCCCCAGAAUGGCAUGGUGAUGGAACGCAGCUGAGAGGUCUGACAAGAUGUACCAGGUCCCACUGCCACUGGAUCGGGAUGGGACCCUGGUACGGCUCCGCUUCACCAUGGUGGCCCUGGUCACGGUCUGCUGUCCACUUGUCGCCUUCCUCUUCUGCAUCCUCUGGUCCCUGCUCUUCCACUUCAAGGAGACAACGGCCACACACUGUGGGGCAGGUUCCAGUCUGCGGGGGAGAUGGAGAAGGUGCCACCAUGCUGCUGCACAAAUCCCAGGAUAGCUGGGGAAUGAGAAUCCAGCACUUUGGGCCUAGGACGUGGAAGGAGAGGUCUUUUGGGAGAGGUGCCCAAUUACCUGCCCUCGGUGAGCUCAGCCAUCGGCGGGGAGGUGCCCCAGCGCUACGUGUGGCGUUUCUGCAUCGGCCUGCACUCGGCGCCUCGCUUCUUGGUGGCCUUCGCCUACUGGAACCACUACCUCAGCUGCACCUCCCCGUGUUCCUGCUAUCGCCCGCUCUGCCGCCUCAACUUCGGCCUCAAUGUCGUGGAGAACCUCGCGUUGCUAGUGCUCACUUAUGUCUCCUCCUCCGAGGACUUCACCGUCCACGAAAAUGCUUUCAUUGUGUUCAUUGCCUCAUCCCUCGGGCACAUGCUCCUCACCUGCAUUCUCUGGCGGUUGACCAAGAAGCACACAGUAAGUCAGGAGUGGAAGCGGCAGGAAUACCACUGCUCCUCGGCCCAUCACUCCCCCAGAGGCAGGGACGUGAACACGUUCGUCAUUCUUGCUGCCCCUGCCUGUGCUCCCUUCCAUGACCGCUAGUGGGAGCCAAGGGAGAUAAGGCCCAGCCCUUAGGAGUUAGGGCUGAGAGGGGAGCCCAGGCUCUCAUACCCAGCAAGCUGCAGAGUGAUCAGACAGCCCAUUCCCUAGGAUCGCAAGUCCUACAGCUGGAAACAGCGGCUCUUCAUCAUCAACUUCAUCUCCUUCUUCUCGGCGCUGGCUGUCUACUUUCGGCACAACAUGUAUUGUGAGGCUGGAGUGUACACCAUCUUUGCCAUCCUGGAGUACACUGUUGUCUUAACCAACAUGGCGUUCCACAUGACGGCCUGGUGGGACUUCGGGAACAAGGAGCUGCUCAUAACCUCUCAGCCUGAGGAAAAGCGAUUCUGAACCCUUCAGUCCUGCUUGGGAGGACGCAGCCCACUGCCCAGAAACAAGAAACACGAUACCAUUCUGGCCUUCCCCACCCCACAUCCUCUCUUGGCCUUACUGAAGAUGGGGGAAGGGUAAGAAGGAAGGGUGUAGGCCAAGGCUCACCCCAGUGCUGCUGGCUUCUCCUCUCCACCCCUCAUAUGGGCGUGGGGUCCUCAAACAUCACCUUUACCUGAGAGGCCCCAAGAAGCUGAGCUGGCAGAGAGCUCCACCAUUUGGUGCUAAAAAAAAACGUCCUGAGGUUCAUGACCACCAUCCAGUUUCUGGCCUUUACACAGUCACCUUUCACUGAGGUCAGGAGCCCCUGAGCAGUGGCUGCUCCCUGACAACCACAGCCAUUUCUCUGCACGGGGGUCAUUCAUAGGACUAAUGUAUUUCAUGAUCUACUGUGCACAUCCAGGCCUGUGGCCACAGUCCCCUGCUAAAGUUGCUCAGGUGUUCUAGUCCUGACUUCACCUUUUUGAUUUGGUGUGUGCCCUAGGGUAUGUACCCUUCCCCAUCUGAGCCUCGGUGUGUCCAUGUGUCUGGUGGGGGAUGGGCGGACUGUAUGAUUUCCAAGGGCUCUGCCAGUCAGUGGUUCUGAUGUCAUCGGGUGGAGGUGGUGGUCUAUACCUGAAGGACGACCUGCUCCCGAAACAGCACCAGCACAGCAUGUAUUUUCUUCUCUUCUGAAAGUUCUGGCGUAUAGACCCCUCCCCUCCUUUGCAAAGGUAUGGGAUAGAGGAGUCAGAUGCAGAUCUCUACUGUAAAAUGGGCUCCCUGGUAUCUCCUGUCUUCCCUACUGCUCCAAACCCUAAAUUUUGGUUGUACAUUUUAUUUGAAAGGAAAAUAAAUUUUUUUUUUGGGCCAA